rnacentral:lncRNA from 1 species
AUGCAGGGUCGUUUGUCUGCUUGGUUAGUCAAACAUGGGUUAGUUCAUAGAUCUUUGGGUUUCGAUUACCAAGGAAUAGAAACUUUACAAAUAAAACCCGAGGAUUGGCAUUCGAUUGCUGUCAUUUUAUAUGUAUAUGGUUACAAUUAUCUACGUUCCCAAUGUGCUUAUGAUGUAGCACCGGGCGGACUGUUAGCUAGUGUCUAUCAUCUUACGAGAAUAGAGUAUGGUAUAGAUCAACCAGAAGAGGUAUGCAUAAAAGUAUUUGCCCCAAGGAGGAAUCCU